rnacentral:rRNA from 1 species
AUUGAACGCUGGCGGAAUGCUUUACACAUGCAAGUCGAGCGGCAGCGCGGGGGCAACCCUGGCGGCGAGCGGCGAACGGGUGAGUAACAUAUCGGAACGUACCCAGUCGUGGGGGAUAACUAUCCGAAAGGAUAGCUAAUACCGCAUACGUCCUGAGGGAGAAAGCGGGGGAUCGCAAGACCUCGCGCGAUUGGAGCGGCCGAUAUCGGAUUAGCUAGUUGGUGGGGUAAAGGCUCACCAAGGCGACGAUCCGUAGCGGGUCUGAGAGGACGACCCGCCACACUGGAACUGAGACACGGUCCAGACUCCUACGGGAGGCAGCAGUGGGGAAUUUUUGGACAAUGGGGGCAACCCUGAUCCAGCCAUUCCGCGUGAGUGAAGAAGGCCUCGGUUGG